rnacentral:rRNA from 1 species
AACGCGAAGAACCUUACCUGGUCUUGACAUCCACAGAACUUUCCAGAGAUGGAUUGGUGCCUUCGGGAACUGUGAGACAGGCGCUGCAUGGCUGUCGUCAGCUCGUGUUGUGAAAUGUUGGGUUAAGUCCCGCAACGAGCGCAACCCUUAUCUUUUGUUGCCAGCGGUCCGGCCGGGAACUCAAAGGAGACUGCCAGUGAUAAACUGGAGGAAGGUGGGGAUGACGUCAAGUCAUCAUGGCCCUUACGGCCAGGGCUACACACGUGCUACAAUGGCGCAUACAAAGAGAAGCGACCUCGCGAGAGCAAGCGGACCUCAUAAAGUGCGUCGUAGUCCGGAUUGGAGUCUACAACUCGACUCCAUGAAGUCGGGAUCGCUAGUAAUCGUGGAUCAGAAUGCCACGGUGAAUACGUUCCCGGGUCUUGUACACACGC